GGUAGCACAUGUUGGUGGGAGCAUGAUCACUAGGCAAUCAGGUAGCACAUGUUGGUGGGAGCAUGAUCACUAGGCAAUCAGGUAGCACAUGUUGGUGGGAGCAUGAUCACUAGGCAAUCAGGUAGCACAUUUAAAUGGUGCACGUUCACUAUCCAAUCAGGUAGCACAUGUUGGUGGGAGCAUGAUCACUAGGCAAUCAGGUAGCACAUGUUGGUGGGAGCAUGAUCACUAGGCAAUCAGGUAGCACAUGUUGGUGGGAGCAUGAUCACUAGGCAAUCAGG